rnacentral:rRNA from 1 species
AGCUCCGCCAGUGUAUAUCUAUGCUGCUGCGGUUAAAAAGCUCGUAGUUGGAUCUUCGUGAUGUUCCCGGUCCACCUGUAUAGGUGUGCACUGACGAACAUCACUGAAUCGCUAGUUUUCCACUGAUGCCCUUAAUCGGGUGUCUUUGGUGACUAGCAUGUUUACUUUGAAAAAAUUAGAGUGCUUAAAACAAGCGACUUGCUUGAAUAUUCGUGCAUGGAAUAAUAGAAUAGGCUUUUGGCUCUAUUUUGUUGGUUUUCGGAGCACAAGAGAAUGAUUAAGAGGGACAGACGGGGGCAUUCGUACUCCGACGUUAGAGGUGAAAUUCUUGGAUCGUCGGAUGACGCACUACUGCGAAAGCAUUUGCCAAGAAUGUUUUCAUUAAUCAAGAACGAAAGUA